UUGCGGCCCCGGCCAUCCGCACCGGCCCGGCAGGCUGCCCCAAGCUGCUGGUCCCCCCUGGGCUGCACCACCAGCAGGCCCUCCCCCCCACCAAGCCCCAGGACCUUCCCCUCGACUACACCAAAGAGGAGGAGCCUGUCCUCCUCAAGACCGGGGAGGGCGCUGAGCUCCAGGUGCGGAAAUACAGCGUCAUCGACGACCUACACAGAGGGCGCUUCUCGUGUGUGGGGCGCCGAAUCUGUGUAUCAUACAAUCUGUACAUUCUUCAUUCUGUAUUUCCCUCAUUUGUAUGUUUCUUCCAAACAAGGUGCGGAAAUACAGCGUCAUCGACGACCUACACAUCAUACAAUCUGUA
rnacentral:lncRNA from 1 species